rnacentral:lncRNA from 1 species
AAUGGAACCCAAGGAUAAUUGACAUUUUUGGGACAACCAUAGUAGGUGUGACUUUAAUCUUCUGUUUAACCCAUAUUGAUCCUAGGUUUAACCCAUAUUGAUCCUAGGAAGAACGACGAUUUAAAUCCGCGGCAAGGGAUAUAAUUUCAACUUUUUGCUUGUUCUUGUUGGAACAUAAAUUUGACCGACAACUUGGAGAUGCCAUAAUCUCUGUGAAUCUUGAACUGCUAAAUGUACAACAAGAGUGGU